rnacentral:rRNA from 1 species
AACGUACCCAAGAGUGGGGGAUAACGUAGCGAAAGUUACGCUAAUACCGCAUACGAUCUAAGGAUGAAAGUGGGGGAUCGCAAGACCUCAUGCUCCUGGAGCGGCCGAUAUCUGAUUAGCUAGUUGGUGAGGUAAAGGCUCACCAAGGCGACGAUCAGUAGCUGGUCUGAGAGGACGACCAGCCACACUGGAACUGAGACACGGUCCAGACUCCUACGGGAGGCAGCAGUGGGGAAUUUUGGACAAUGGGCGCAAGCCUGAUCCAGCAAUGCCGCGUGAGUGAAGAAGGCCUUCGGGUUGUAAAGCUCUUUUGUCAGGGAAGAAACGGUAGAGGCUAAUAUCCUUUGCUAAUGACGGUACCUGAAGAAUAAGCACCGGCUAACUACGUGCCAGCAGCCGCGGUAAUACGUAGGGUGCAAGCGUUAAUCGGAAUUACUGGGCGUAAAGCGUGCGCAGGCGGUUUUGUAAGUCUGUCGUGAAAGCCCCGGGCUCAACCUGGGAAUUGCGAUGGAGACUGCAAGGCUUGAAUCUGGCAGAGGGGGGUAGAAUUCCACGUGUAGCAGUGAAAUGCGUAGAGAUGUGGAGGAACACCGAUGGCGAAGGCAGCCCCCUGGGUCAAGAUUGACGCUCAUGCACGAAAGCGUGGGGAGCAAACAGGAUUAGAUACCCUGGUAGUCCACGCCCUAAACGAUGUCUACUAGUUGUCGGGGUUUAAUUAACUUGGUAACGCAGCUAACGCGUGAAGUAGACCGCCUGGGGAGUACAGUCGCAAGAUUAAAACUCUCAGGAAUUGACGGGGACCCGCACAAGCGGUGGAUGAUGUGGAUUAAUUC